ACUAGGGGCCAAGAUACCCUAAAGGCACCUAAUCCCAUGAGAGCUUAGAAGUUAACAAGGGCCAUUCCAAGUUAGCACUUGGAUGAGAGACCAUAAAUGAAUAUCAGGCGCUGUUGGUU
rnacentral:rRNA from 1 species